rnacentral:rRNA from 1 species
UCUGGCUCAGGAUGAACGCUGGCGGCGUGCUUAACACAUGCAAGUCGAACGGGAAACAUUUCAUUGAGGCUUCGGCGGAUUAGGUCUGUUUCUAGUGGCGGACGGGUGAGUAACGCGUGGGUAACCUGCCUUAUACUGGGGGAUAACAGCCAGAAAUGACUGCUAAUACCGCAUAAGCGCACGGGGCCGCAUGGUCCUGUGUGAAAAACUCCGGUGGUAUAAGAUGGACCCGCGUUGGAUUAGCUAGUUGGCAGGGCAGCGGCCUACCAAGGCGACGAUCCAUAGCCGGCCUGAGAGGGUGAACGGCCACAUUGGGACUGAGACACGGCCCAGACUCCUACGGGAGGCAGCAGUGGGGAAUAUUGCACAAUGGGGGAAACCCUGAUGCAGCGACGCCGCGUGAAGGAAGAAGUAUCUCGGUAUGUAAACUUCUAUCAGCAGGGAAGAUAAUGACGGUACCUGACUAAGAAGCCCCGGCUAACUACGUGCCAGCAGCCGCGGUAAUACGUAGGGGGCGAGCGUUAUCCGGAUUUACUGGGUGUAAAGGGAGCGUAGACGGCGUAUCAAGUCUGAUGUGAAAGGCAGGGGCUUAACCCCUGGACUGCAU